AUUUUAAUUCUCACACCCACUUCAGGGGUCCUAAAGCAUCUUUGGUGUCUAUGUGCCAUCCAACUCUCAUUUGUAGCUCCAAGAAGCUCUAGCCUAUGCAGUGACCAUUCCUGAGUAAAACAAUCCCAGCAAAAAUGAUAAACCAUGUGGAGUGUAAUGAAUAGGCUCUAGAUCUGGUGCUGAAAAGGGGGGAUGUCCACCUCAAACAUAUGAAGCGUGCCCCUAGCAGAACACAGAUGAGAACAAUUUGUUCCAACAGCCAUGAAAGCAGAUGAAGCAGGCACCAGAGAUGCCAAGAUCAUGACUGCAUCCCAAGCCAUCACCAGUCAUCUCGACUUCUGUCUUACCACAGGGCUUCAACGAUUCUGGGAGAGAGAGGAAGGCUAACAACUUUGUGCAACUCUGCCUUAAAACCGAUUCCUGUUCAAGUCAAGACAUCACCCUGUGACGUCACUAGUCCUUUUCAAAAAGAAGGACAAACUACCAAACAGCCUCAGUAAUGGUUAUAAUGGGUUUUUGCCUAGAGUGGGUUUGUAGUGAUGAAACUAUUACAUGUAAAGAUCUACUCCAGGAGACACAACAAUAAGCACAGCCUUGUCCUUCGGCCAAGUGGGUUGGAACCUGAAGGGUAUUCGGAGACACCAGCCUAUGGAGAAAUUGAGGCAUACAGAGGAAAAAAUGAUCAUCUACUGGUGAAAGUAGAGUCAGAGUUAGAAAGCUACAUCCUAAGAAUCAGAAACUCCAGAUGAGGACAUGGUGGAAUGAUUUGUCCAAGGGCCCAUGAAGAGUAAAGAAGAGAAUCAGAAUUCACAGAAACAUCUUUGGGGUCUAACAAUGCAGUCUCCAGGAGUUCAGAAGAGUCUUAGUGAAUCAGAGAAAGCUGACCAACCUCAAAACAAGUAGUCCAUUCUUCGGUUUCCAUGCUGCUCUGCUGCUGGGACCUCUACUUAUACAGGAAAGAUUAUAUAGUUACUCUACCUAGUCUGAAAUUGCAACAUAUAAUCUUCAAUCUGAUGGGGUCGAGCUGAUCCCCAGAGUGGAUGAUGGGGUGAAGUUGACUGCCAAUUCCCCUGUGUUAUAUAGUUCAGGUGUCAGACGUCCUCUGAACCCAGACAUACCUGGAUGGUCCUAUGGGUAGGUUCUGCACACAGAUGUCUAAUUACCUUAUAUCAUUUUUCUAAAUGAAUUCAGCCAAGCAAAUGAAAUUUAAAAAAAAAUUAAAACACGUUGUAAGCAGCCUAUCCCCCUAGGCCACUGUCUGCAGUGAAUUAAAUAGAACAUAUUUCCCAAGACCACAAGCCUAUUGAAAUAGUUUCCCAGUGAUAGGCAUUGAACUACACAGUCAAGAUCCUAGGGGCCAAAAGCACACUUCUGAAUCCAAAGAAAAGUCACAGAAAACGGCUAACUCUAGGCUUUGUCAUAAUGGCUCAUUGUCUUGGAGGCUGGAGGGAAAUUUGUCAAUGCACACCAGAUUUUCAGGGGAGAGUGGGCAUUAUAUCUGAUAUUAAGCAACUGACCUGAAAUUAAUAUAGCAGGGCAUGUUUGGAUGAACAUCUCUUUAAAAUGAGGGGCCUAGGAGGGGUAUAAGAGUCAAGAGAGAGGGGUGGGAGAAAGGUUAGCAAAGCUUCCCCAAAACAAAGAAACCAUUACAGUAAAAGAGAUGCUUAG
ensembl:lncRNA